rnacentral:rRNA from 1 species
UCGAACGAAGCACUCUUUUAGAUUUCCUUCGGGGAAGAAGAAAUUGUGACUGAGUGGCGGACGGGUGAGUAACGCGUGGGCAACCUGCCCCAUACAGGGGGAUAACAGCCGGAAACGGCUGCUAAAACCGCAUAAGCGCACAAGGGCCGCAUGGCCUGGUGUGAAAAACUCCGGUGGUAUGGGAUGGGCCCGCGUCUGAUUAGCUAGUUGGCGGGGGAGAGGCCCACCAAGGCGACGAUCAGUAGCCGACCUGAGAGGGUGGCCGGCCACAUUGGGUCUGAGACACGGCCCAAACUCCUACGGGAGGCAGCAGUGGGGAAUAUUGCACAAUGGGGGAAACCCUGAUGCAGCGACGCCGCGUGAGCGAAGAAGUAUUUCGGUAUGUAAAGCUCUAUCAGCAGGGAAGAAAAAUGACGGUACCUGAGUAAGAAGCACCGGCUAAAUACGUGCCAGCAGCCGCGGUAAUACGUAUGGUGCAAGCGUUAUCCGGAUUUACUGGGUGUAAAGGGAGCGCAGGCGGUGCGGCAAGUCUGAUGUGAAAGCCCGGGGCUCAACCCCGGGACUGCAUUGGAAACUACCGAACUAGAGUGUCGGAGAGGUAAGUGGAAUUCCUAGUGUAGCGGUGAAAUGCGUAGAUAUUAGGAGGAACACCAGUGGCGAAGGCGGCUUACUGGACGAUAACUGACGUUGAGGCUCGAAAGCGUGGGGAGCAAACAGGAUUAGAUACCCUGGUAGUCCACGCCGUAAACGAUGAUCACCAGGUGUCGGUGGGUAUGGACCCAUCGGUGCCGC